AAAAAAAACUUUUCAGUUUUAUAUAAAAUUACCUGAGUUAUCUUGAGAGACUGAGCACUUUUUAAAAGCUUAUAGAUAAAAACAUUUUAAAACUGUUUGCUAUAUACCAAACACUGUGAUAAACAUUGAGGCUAAAAAAUUUGCAAAACAUUUUUCAAUGUUUUCUUUUAAGGAGUUGAUAUUCUAAGAAGAAGAUAAAACAUUAAGAGAGUGGAAAGGAGAUGAAAGUGAAGACUAUCCAACCAGGAGAUAUUUAAGUGUCCUUUUUGUGAAAGUUCCUGUGCUGGAUGAAAAGAAGCUUGCAUUCUAAUUUUGUAUAAUAUAACAAGAUUGCCAUCAUCUAAACAAGAAAAAAAUAAAAGGAUUGGCAGUUUCCAAGGGCAAGAAAGAUGAAUUCUAUUUUGGACAUGUUGAACUUGAGCUGCUAGCAGGACCUCUGGGCAGAGUUUACUAAUUGGAUAUGUGAAAUGAGAGAUCAAGAGGCAACA
rnacentral:lncRNA from 1 species